UUUUAUGGAGAGUUUGAUCCUGGCUCAGGAUGAACGCUGGCGGCGUGCCUAAUACAUGCAAGUCGAGCGAACGGACGAGAAGCUUGCUUCUCUGAUGUUAGCGGCGGACGGGUGAGUAACACGUGGAUAACCUACCUAUAAGACUGGGAUAACUUCUGGAAACCGGAGCUAAUACCGGAUAAUAUUUUGAACCGCAUGGUUCAAAAGUGAAAGACGGUCUUGCUGUCACUUAUAGAUGGAUCCGCGCUGCAUUAGCUAGUUGGUAAGGUAACGGCUUACCAAGGCAACGAUGCAUAGCCGACCUGAGAGGGUGAUCGGCCACACUGGAACUGAGACACGGUCCAGACUCCUACGGGAGGCAGCAGUAGGGAAUCUUCCGCAAUGGGCGAAAGCCUGACGGAGCAACGCCGCGUGAGUGAUGAAGGUCUUCGGAUCGUAAAACUCUGUUAUUAGGGAAGAACAUAUG
rnacentral:rRNA from 1 species